UUAAUUGAAACCAAAAAGAGGUCUAUUAUUGUUAAUAAUAUCAUUGAAUAAAAAUUUUUCCAAUUAAA
rnacentral:tRNA from 1 species